rnacentral:rRNA from 1 species
GACGAACGCUGGCGGCGUGCUUAACACAUGCAAGUCGAACGGAAAGGCCCUGCUUUUGUGGGGUGCUCGAGUGGCGAACGGGUGAGUAGCACGUGAGUAACCUGCCCUUGACUUUGGGAUAACUUCAGGAAACUGGGGCUAAUACCGGAUAUGAGCUCCUGCUGCGUGGUGUGGGUUGGAGAGUUUCGGCGGUUGGGGAUGGACUCGCGGCUUAUCAGCUUGUUGGUGGGGUAGUGGCUUACCAAGGCUUUGACGGAUAGCCGGCCUGAGAGGGUGACCGGCCACAUUGGGACUGAGAGACGGCCCAGACUCCUACGGGAGGCAGCAGGGGAGAAUAUUGCACAAUGGGCGGAAGCCUGAUGCAGCAACGCCGCGUGCGGGAUGACGGCCUUCGGGGUGUAAACCGCUUUCGCCUGUGACGAAGCGUGAGUGACGGUAAUGGGUAAAGAAGCACCGGCUAACUACGUG